rnacentral:rRNA from 1 species
GAUGAACGCUGGCGGCGUGCCUAAUACAUGCAAGUCGAGCGAACAGACGAGGAGCUUGCUCCUUUGACGUUAGCGGCGGACGGGUGAGUAACACGUAGGUAACCUACCUAUAAGACUGGGAUAACUUCGGGAAACCGGAGCUAAUACCGGAUAAUAUUUCGAACCGCAUGGUUCGAUAGUGAAAGAUGGCUUUGCUAUCACUUAUAGAUGGACCUGCGCCGUAUUAGCUAGUUGGUAAGGUAACGGCUUACCAAGGCAACGAUACGUAGCCGACCUGAGAGGGGGAUCGGCCACACUGGAACUGAGACACGGUCCAGACUACUACGGGAGGCAGCAGUAGGGAAUCGUCCGCAAUGGGCGAAAGCCUGACGGAGCAACGCCGCGUGAGUGAUGAAGGUCUUCGGAUCGUAAAACUCUGUUAUUAGGGAAGAACAAACGUGUAAGUAACUGUGCACGUCUUGACGGUACCUAAUCAGAAAGCCACGGCUAACUACGUG